rnacentral:rRNA from 1 species
GACGGAGGGUGCAAGCGUUGCUCGGAAUCAUUGGGCGUAAAGGGUGCGUAGGCGGCCGGACGGGUCUGCCGUGAAAGCCCAGGGCUCAGCCCUGGAAGGGCGGUAGAAACUGUUCGGCUUGAGUGCCGGAGGGGAGAGUGGAAUUCCCGGUGUAGCGGUGAAAUGCGUAGAUAUCGGGAGGAAUACCGGUGGCGAAAGCGACUCUCUGGACGGUGACUGACGCUGAGGCACGAAAGCGUGGGGAGCAAACAGGAUUAGAAACCCCCGUAGUCC